rnacentral:misc_RNA from 1 species
GGAGAGGAUCAUGUGAAUGACAAGGAGGGUGCACAUAGAAAAGGACGCAAUCGGGGUCGGGGCAAGGGGCGUGGGAGGGCUCAGUACCAUCAUAAUAACCGUGGAAAUCACGUGGGAACACCCCCUUCUAAUAAUUCAGUUAUUGGUGAGCAGCCAGUGAUGGUGAAGCAACCUCCAGGGCCCCGUAUGCCUGAUGGCACAAGAGGAUUUGCUAUGGGUCGGGGGAAGCCAGUUGCUGUUAAUAUUGCAUGAUAACUAGUCUUUUUCAAGAUAACUACGGAGGAUGGGGAAUUUAAGGGUGGUAUUGAACAUGGGAGUUGAUGGCAGGGUUAUACAAAGGGCUAUUAUCAAUCAGAAGUAGUUGGUGUAAGGGUUGAAUAAUUUUUUUUUG